rnacentral:rRNA from 1 species
AUUGAGCGCUGGCGGCAUGCCUUACACAUGCAAGUCGAACGGCAGCACGGGUGCUUGCACCUGGUGGCGAGUGGCGAACGGGUGAGUAAUACAUCGGAACGUACCUUAUCGUGGGGGGUAACGCAGCGAAAGCUGUGCUAAUACCGCAUACGCCCUGAGGGGGAAAGCGGGGGAUCGCAAGACCUCGCGCGAUUAGAGCGGCCGAUGCCGGAUUAGCUUGUUGGGGGGGAAAAAGCCCACCAAGGCGACGAUCAGUAGCUGGUCUGAGAGGACGAUCAGCCACACUGGGACUGAGCAACGGCCCAGACUCCGACGGGAGGCAGCAUUGGGGAAUUUUGGCCAAUGGGGGCAACCCUGAUCCAGCAAUGCCGCGUGAGUGAAGAAGGCCUUCGGGUUGUAAAUCUCUUUUGUCAGGGAAGAAACACCGGCUCUAACACAGUCUGGGAAUGACGGUACCUGAAGAAUAAGCACCGGCUAACUACGUGCCAGCCGCCGCCGUAA